rnacentral:lncRNA from 1 species
GAAGGACUUCCGGGAACCGCAAAGCACGGUGUGCCUCCGCUGUCCUGAAGAAAAAGCCGCGCGCGGACGACUGGCCGGCCCGCGCUUGCAGCUCCCAGAAGUUGACAGGCAUCCUCCGGUGACCGGUGUGAGUAUGGCAUCAGGAUGAUUUGACUGCAAGCAACAGAAAAAUCAAACAAAAAUGGCCUAAGCCAAGAAGAGAAAUGAUUAUUUCACAUUCCAAGAAGUUUGGGAGUCGAGUGGUUAAACGGCUAAUUAAUCUAGAGCUCAACAGUAUCACCCAGGACCCAUUUUCACUAUGGUGGCUAAAGCUCUGCACCCUUCAGGCUUGCACCAUGGCAGCAGCAGUGACAGUAAAGACACCCUUACACCACAAUGCUCCAUGACCAGGGAGAGGGUCUCCUCUCUCCUGCCCCUUUCUGGAGGCUCCACCGAAGAUUUCUCUUCACAUUCCGUUUCUCAUUCCUGAAGCAGUUGCUGGCAACAGGGAUGGACUUACCGCAAUGGGUACAGAGCAACUAAGAUUCACCACUAGAUCUGCAUUGUAAGAAAAAUGAGAAGAAUUCCUUCAGGAAGAAGAAAAAUGAUACCAGAUGGAUAUGUGGAUCCACAUAAAGGAACGAAGAGCACAGGAAAUAGUAACUAUACUGGUUUCCUUCGUCAGUCCAGGCAGGACUGUGCGGUUGGAAAAGGGACGGAUGCUGGUCCUGGAAGGGGCGUCGUUAUCUAGAAGCUCCCAACCUAAGUGGGUGACUCAUAGGGAGGGCAAGGAGAGAAGGACACAGCAAGCAACUUACAUGUAAAACAAGACGUGUGGGUUAUUAUGGAAGAAAUUCACAACCAAACUUGGGGUUAGCCCGUAUUGUUUUCCAAGAACUCUAUGUGGACAGUGACAAAAAACAGACCUAAGAACUAGCAGACUGGGCAAAGCUUUUUCACAUAACAACAACAAAAAAAGCAAUUCCUCAGGAAAAAAUGGUCAAUGGGUCAUUGUGUGUAGACAAAACUACAAGUUCUGCUCCAGACUCUGGGGAAACCAUGCUGCCAUCUUCAAGCUGUGGCCAUUCUGUAAUACAGACUACGCUAAAUCACAUGUUGUCAUCAAGGCAGAAUAUUUUGUUCCUUUAUGGGUCAGCCUGGGAUACAAAAUUAGAGAAACUUUGCAAUGAAAAA